AACGAACGCUGGCGGCAUGCCUAACACAUGCAAGUCGAACGAGACCUUCGGGUCUAGUGGCGCACGGGUGCGUAACGCGUGGGAACCUGCCCUUAGGUUCGGAAUAACUCCCCGAAAGGGGUGCUAAUACCGGAUAAUGUCUUCGGACCAAAGAUUUAUCGCCUUUGGAUGGGCCCGCGUUGGAUUAGCUGGUUGGUAGGGUAAAAGCCUACCAAGGCGAGGAUCCAUAGCUGGUCGGAGAGGAGGAUCAGCCACACUGGGAAUGAGACACGGCCCAGACUGGGACGGGGGGGAGGAGUGGGGAAUAUUAGAGAAUGAGCGAAAGCCUGAUCCAGCAGUGCCGCGUGAGUGAUGAAGGGCGUAGGGUUGUAAAGCUCUUUUAGCCGGGAUGAUAAUGACAGUACCGGGAGAAUAAGCACCGGCUAACUCCGUG
rnacentral:rRNA from 1 species